rnacentral:tRNA from 1 species
UCCUUUGUAGUUUUUGAGAACAUUGAUUUUGUAAAUCAAAGGAGGAGACUGUUCUCCUGAAGGAG